rnacentral:rRNA from 1 species
AAACGUCACUCUAGACUUCGAGCACUUUCUCCUUUAACACGCGUAGUCAUUUACUUUCUGGUAGUCGGUCCCGACCAGGUUAUUAACCAGCCGCAUCGUGGCGACUUCUCGCACCCUUCUUCUAUGAAGUCCUCCUCAGUCCCUACCUUAGAAGGCUGUCACUACUUAUGCCCCUUGUACCGUGCCAUAGAGGCAUCCGUUCGCUUUGCGUACUGGUAUCUCCUCCACCCCUAGGUUUAAUACUUAGGACCUCCCCGGGCCCCGGGGCCCGUCAUGCUUGUAGUCGCGGAUGUUGACAAUCACACUUGUCCCCUCUACGCGGAUGUUGACAAUCACACUUGUCCCCUCUACGUCUGCACUUAUUACAACAUGGUGAACAAGUCCUGUUUUCUAUUGUUAACGGUCCACUACGACCAAAUGACCUACGACAAGACCUCCUCUAGUUGCGCUACGUACAAGCACGGAUUCUAUCACCAGACGGUCUAGGUGAGACUAACUCCUCCAACCCCUCUCAGAUCACAACCUUCUCAGCGACCGAGUACCGUGGUCCGUGUGUCACCAGCUCCACUGCGACGUCCUCCGGUGCCCACACUCGCGGUUUCCCGCCUAGACGCCGCGUCGACUUCGCCGCUGUCACUGUUCCCCGUCGAGCGGAGGCUGAAGGCUCGACAGCUGCCCUUCUAAUUAGGGGUCCGAGGACCAACCUUGUUCUCCAGUCACUAUUGUAAUUUAAGUCGUAAGUACCCUUGUAAAAGUCAUGUUAUAAAGGUACGAAACAUUCCAGUAUAUCAAACCAACUUAAAAACCCACUUCAUGAGGUACCGCGUUCUGCUGAAC